CUGCUGUGAUGAAACUAAGGACUUAAAAUUGAAUGCUUGAUGAGACAUUGACCUAGUGUCGAUCCUGAGCGGUUAACUGAGCAG